rnacentral:rRNA from 1 species
UACGGAGGGUGCAAGCGUUGCUAGGAAUUAUUGGGCGUCAAGGGUAGGUAGGUGGUCUCAUUUGUCUGGGGUGAAAGCCUUGGGCUUAACUCAAGAAGUGCCCCAGAAACGGUGAGACUAGAGUCCUGGAGAGGGUCGUGGAAUUCCCGGUGUAGCGGUGAAAUGCGUAGAGAUCGGGAGGAACACCAGAGGCGAAAGCGGCGACCUGGACAGGUACUGACACUCAACUACGAAAGCGUGGGGAGCAAACAGG